rnacentral:rRNA from 1 species
UCAGAUGACGCGGCGGCAUGCUUACACAUGCAAGUCGAACGGCAGCACGGGUGCUUGCACUGGUGGCGAGUGGCGAACGGGUGAGUAAUACAUCGGAACAUGUCCUGUAGUGGGGGAUAGCCCGGCGAAAGCCGGAUUAAUACCGCAUACGAUCUAUGGAUGAAAGCGGGGGACUUCCGGGCCUCGCGCUAUAGGGUUGGCCGAUGGCUGAUAGCUAGUUGGUGGGGUAAAGGCCUACCAAGGCGACGAUCAGUAGCUGGUCUGAGAGGACGACCAGCCACACUGGGACUGAGACACGGCCCAGACUCCUACGGGAGGCAGCAGUGGGGAAUUUUGGACAAUGGGCGAAAGCCUGAUCCAGCAAUGCCGCGUGUGUGAAGAAGGCCUUCGGGUUGUAAAGCACUUUUGUCCGGAAAGAAAUCCUUGGCUCUAAUACAGUCGGGGGAUGACGGUACCGGAAGAAUAAGCACCGGCUAACUACGUGCCAGCAGCCGCGGUAAUACGUAGGGUGCAAGCGUUAAUCGGAAUUACUGGGCGUAAAGCGUGCGCAGGCGGUUUGCUAAGACCGAUGUGAAAUCCCCGGGCUCAACCUGGGAACUGCAUUGGUGACUGGCAGGCUAGAGUAUGGCAGAGGGGGGUAGAAUUCCACGUGUAGCAGUGAAAUGCGUAGAGAUGUGGAGGAAUACCGAUGGCGAAGGCAGCCCCCUGGGCCAAUACUGACGCUCAUGCACGAAAGCGUGGGGAGCAAACAGGAUUAGAUACCCUGGUAGUCCACGCCCUAAACGAUGUCAACUAGUUGUUGGGGAUUCAUUUCCUUAGUAACGUAGCUAACGCGUGAAGUUGACCGCCUGGGGAGUACGGUCGCAAGAUUAAAACUCAAAGGAAUUGACGGGGACCCGCACAAGCGGUGGAUGAUGUGGAUUAAUUCGAUGCAACGCGAAAAACCUUACCUACCCUUGACAUGGUCGGAAUCCUGAAGAGAUUCGGGAGUGCUCGAAAGAGAACCGGCGC